rnacentral:lncRNA from 1 species
ACACGUUGGUAAAUGAGUCUGUUUCUUGUUGCUGUUUUGUGGAAUCUAGAUGCGAAGACCUAUCUCCCAAGGACCCUUGUUGUGAGAACGACCGUUCCAGUCCCUGUGAAUGAAGCCCUCGUUCCCUUGUUCUUGUCCGGCACUUGGACACAGGAAAAGAAAAGCAACUGAUGCACCCUGGGAGGAAGAAGUCCAACUCUGCCUUAACACAGAUCCUCAGCUAUCUAAGGCUUCACAGCAUCGCCACGCACAACAAAAGAUUAGAGGCCAUGAAGAUCAAGCACCUUUACUGUCUUGCUUUCCUCAAAGAACUAUUAUUGUCACAAAACUACCAAGACUGUGAAGAGGGAAAGUGCUAGCCUGGAAUACAAAUCUUAAGGGGGUACCAAAGUUUUAAUUUGCCAGAGUUUGCCACGUUUCAAACAGAUACCAAGCUCAGGUCAAGGCCUGGACUGAGGAUGUGAAUAAGCAGAAAAACACCCCAUUCUUGAUGACAAGAUCCUUGGAAACUGAUAAAGGAGAUACACUGAUAGUCAGACUUCGUCAAGAUGACGCACACCAGAGGCAAACAACAGAGGGAAGCAGGCUGGUGUGGAGCUCACACUGUCCCCAGCAUUCA